rnacentral:lncRNA from 1 species
AUGGACAUCGUGGUAGCACUGCAGCAGAAAAAAGCAAGGAACCUCCGAAACAAUGAUGCUCUACGUCUACGUGAUACGUUUCUGGAAGUAUUUCCUCCCGAAGGAAGAGAUGGAUCAUGAUCUGAUGUGUUUUCAUUGAUUUCUUCAAGAACUUCAACGAUGGUAGCCAAGUUACUUUCCAUUCUUUAGCUUGUUCUGACUUUGUUAAGAGUUUGCCUGAGCAUAAAUAUAACUACAUGAUUUAUUUAUUUAGUGACAGACAAUAAAAGAGACGAGAGAACUUGGAAAUUACGUCCAAGAGAAAAGAAAAAACAAAAUAAAAUAAAUUCAACCAGUCCAGA